UAUGUCACAGGAGUGAUCCUUCUCCUGGUCCUUGACUGUACAACUUCACUCAGAGCCUUGAGGUCAGCAACUGUGCCUGCAGCAGGACUUUGGGAGUAGAUGAUCUCUAAGGUCCUUUCCAAUAGGGCUUUCUCAGACAGCACAGAAACCCUGGCCUGUAGCAGAAAAGUCAUACAAGUGAAGAUGAGAAAACCCCUGGAGAGCCUCAGUGUAGGGCCCUGCAGAGCCCCCUUUGACCACCAGAGGUCAGAAGCAAAACAUCGCAUCUCCACCACUGAACCCUCAUUUCCUCUGUCGCUGUCCUGGAGAGGGAGAAGCAAAGGAAUCAGCAGAAAUGCCGCUUCAUUCACAGAGAGGAUGGAGACAGUAACACGAAGGACCGCAGGCGAUGGAGGCGGAAGGUGGCAAGGAACGCAGACAGAACCUAAAAGCCUCAUCAAAACCUGUGUGGAUAUUCAAAAAAAAAAAAAAAAAGAAAAGAAAAGAAAAAAAGAAAAAAAAGGCAUUUGCAACUUUCCUGCAAUAGUGCUUUUAUUCUUUGCAAACACAUUUCUGGAACACUAAAAAAGCAUCUGAGCAUAAUAAGCAACCAACAGAGCGAAUUUUCCCAGCCGUAAAGCCUGGAUCAGCUCACGGCAGUUCUCCAGAGGAGCUAGAAAAGACCUUCAAGAUCAUCAAGUCCAACCACCAACCUGACCUACUGAGUCUCAGACAGCUUCCACCUUUCCCUUUUGCUGAUCUUGAUCCUAAAAAUCUCAGGAAACACUGGCAGAUCAUUCAUCCGAUUAAGUUGCUGCUGUGAAGUCAGAAAAAAGUAUUUCAGAAUUCUUGGAGAGCAGACUGUUUUAAUGGCUAUGGGAAGACACAGCAAUCUUCCUCAAGAGCUGUAUGUAACUUGGAGGUAGCAGGGAAGACAACUACUAGAUCCAUCAAUUGCCGGUGAAAAACUGGGAGCAGGUCUUAAUCAGUUAAGCAGGGAAGCACUGCUUGACAGCUCCCUUCGGGAUGAGCCUCAUUUGGGGCCUGACUACUCAGCAGGAUUAGCAACUUCAAGCACCAGAAAGUUGACCUUAAACAAAGGAGAAAGCCCUGAUUUUUUUCCCAAGACAUGACAGCGGUGCAUAUUAGGAUGUGAUGAGGAAAGAAAUUGGCUGAGGGGUUUUUUUUUGGGCCACCGCGGGGCUUUUUCUAGCAGAGGAACCGUGUCAGCAAUUUUGGUGACUUUAUCCCCACUCUGCUGAGGCUGAUGCUGCUCACACAGCACACCCGCCAGCAAGGUUCUGCUGGCAGAAACCUGCCCUCGUGUUUGGUGCGAGCUGCAGGCACGUUGCAUAAGACGCCUGCCCUGUUUUCUUGGCACUUUGGUGUCAGACUGACUGCUCUCUUCCCCUUGCAAAAGUUCUUUGGUUGGGUCAGCAUUUAAGCACUAUGUAUAUAUAACUGCAUUGGCAUACAGAUAUAAGCAAACAUAUGAAUUUAUAGGUGUGUAUAUACACACAUUGGACAGAGAUUUCAGAUAUCAGACAGUGUAUCUACCUGAUCAUGUAAGAAUAUCUAUGUAUUGUAAUCUCUAUAAUGAAGAGUUUCACUGAAAAUACUCCCUCUUUACCCCCAUUUUAAUUUUUAUGUAUUGUUCCUUCUCUUACUUCUCCAUUUAUCCUUUUUCAAAUGUAUUGUCUAAUAAAUAGAGACUGUAAUUGCCUUGGAACCAAUUAUUCGGUGACAUACACCAAAGGAUGAUAAAAAUCUUUUGAAUGUUUGGAUGUAAUGGGGAAGCACCCGAACAUUUACAUUGUGUCCUUCACCAGCAGCGUUCAUCUCAUAUCUCUGCACUUUAAUACAAGGACAUCACUGCAUUACAUGAUAUCUUAUGAAAGCACAAUUUGUAAACAUAUAUGCAGUUGAAAAUAAAGAUGAAAAUCAUACUUAA